rnacentral:rRNA from 1 species
UACAGAGGUCUCAAGCGUUGUUCGGAUUCAUUGGGCGUAAAGGGUGUGUAGGUGGCGCGAUAAGUCGGGUGUGAAAUUUCGGAGCUUAACUCCGAAACUGCAUUCGAUACUGGCGUGCUUGAGGACUGGAGAGGAGACUGGAAUUCAUGGUGUAGCAGUGAAAUGCGUAGAGAUCAUGAGGAAGACCAGUGGCGAAGGCGGGUCUCUGGACAGUUCCUGACACUGAGACACGAAGGCCAGGGGAGCAAACGGG